GCGCGAGUGGCUCAGCGGUGGAGCACCACCUUGCCAAGGUGGGGGUCGCGGGUUCGAUCCCCGUCUCGCGCUCUA
rnacentral:tRNA from 1 species